CUAUUCUGUGGCUCAGACUAAUCUUUUGAGAGUUUAAUUACAAAUUCGUCUGAGGACUCAUUAAAGAGCUAGAAUCCAUUGUCGGAAAACUUGUUAAAAAAACAACUGUCAUUACUUUACUCAUUUACUGUCAAAAUAAAAAAUUGUUUUGGAAUUUGGAUUUUGGAAUCUUGGAAAGGCGUCCUUUUCGUAAAGGCGUACAUUGUGAUUUAUUUAUUUGUUGACGAUUUAACUUUUUGAUGAAAUUAUGAAUUAAUGAAAUUUGUUGCUUCAUGAUAGGGACUCGUGCUUGUGUGUGUGACAUGAUGUUUUAAUUCAAAACAAGUGAGUUAUAGUGAGUGUGCUGUGCUGAGUGCUGGGAGUUGAGACCUGUGCUGGGUCUGCAGGCGGUGAGCGCGCGCGGGUGAUGCUGUGAGCGCCAUGGACGCGCAGGGCGACGCGGAGCGGGAGCGCGCUGCGGCGGGCGCGGGCGCGGAAGCGUGCGAGGGCGACGAGCGCGCGCGCCACAGCCUGGUGCGCUGCGCGUCGCAGUCGUCGUUGGACGAGUCGUCGCAGCGGCGCGGCGCCGACGCGGACGCGGGCGCGGGCGCGGCGCACGCGGCGGCGCUGCUGGGCGCGCUGGCGCGGCUGCGGCGCGACGAGCUGCUGUGCGACGUGCGGCUGCAGGCCGAGGGCGCCGCGCCGCUGCCCGCGCACCGCGCCGUGCUGGCGGCCGGCUCGCCCUACUUCCGCGCCAUGUUCACGCAGUUCGACGAGCGCACGCAGCCGCUGGUGCUCAUCCGCGGCGUGGAGCCGGCGGCGCUGGCGGCCGUGCUGGACUACGUGUACGAGCCCGCGUCGCUGCGCGUCAGCGAGCGCAACGUGCAGAGCGUGCUGGCGGCCGCGUCGCUGCUGCAGGUGCCGGGCGCGCGCGCCGCCGCCUGCGCCUUCCUCGCCGCCGCGCUGGCGCCCGACAACGCGCUGGGCAUCCGCGCCUUCGCCGACCUGCACGCCUGCAGCGAGCUGGCCGACGCCGCCGCGCGCUUCGUGGAGCGCCGCUUCGUCGAGGUGCUGGACGCCGAGGAGUUCCUGGCGCUGGACGCCGACGCGCUGGGCGCGCUGCUGGACAGCGACCGCCUGGCCGUGCCCGACGAGGAGGUGGUGCUGGACGCCGUGCUGCGCUGGAUGCGCCACGACCCCGAGGCGCGGCGCGCGCGGCUGGGCGCGCUGCUGGAGCACGUGCGCCUGCCGCUGCUGCCGCAGGACGCGCUGGUGGCGCGCGCCGCCGCCGAGCCGCUGGCCAGCGCCGAGCUGCGCGUCAAGGACCUGGUCAUCGAGGCGCUGUCCUUCCACCUGCUCCGACCCGAGCGCCGCGCCGCCGCCGCCGCCGCGUGCGCGCGCGCCCGUCCGCGCCAGCCGCCGCGCGCGCCGCGGGCGCUGCUGGCGGUGGGCGGGCAGGCGCCCAAGGCCAUCCGCGACGUGGAGGCCUUCGACCUGGACGGCGGGCGCUGGCGCGCGGCCGCCGAGCUGCCGUCGCGCCGCUGCCGCGCGGGGCUGGCGGCCGUGGGCGGGCGCCUGUACGCCGUGGGCGGCUUCGACGGCACCCUGCGCGUGCGCAGCGUGGACGUGUACGACGUGGCCACCGACUCGUGGGCGCCGGGCCCGCCGCUGGGCGCGCGCCGCUCCACGCUGGGCGUGGCCGUGAUCGGCAGCGUGAUCUACGCCGUGGGCGGCUUCGACGGCGCCGCCGGGCUGAGCUCGGCCGAGGCGCUGGACGUGCGCGAGGGCGCGUGGCGGCCCGUGGCCGGCAUGAGCUCGCGCCGCUCGUCCGUGGGCGUGGGCGUGCUGGACGGGCGGCUGUACGCCGUGGGCGGCUACGACGGCGCGUCGCGCCAGUGCCUGCAGUCCGUGGAGCGCUACGACCCGGCCGCCGACGCGUGGGAGCCGGUGGCGGACAUGGCGGCGCGGCGCUCGGGCGCGGGCGUGGGCGUGGCGGGCGGCGCGCUGUUCGCCGUGGGCGGGCACGACGGGCCGGCCGUGCGCCGCUCGGUGGAGCGCUUCCGGCCGGGCGAGGGCUGGGGCGCGGCGCCGCCCAUGGCGCACGCGCGGCGCAACGCGGGCGUGGCGGCGCACCACGGGCGCCUGUACGUGGUGGGCGGCGACGACGGCGCCGCCAACCUGGCCAGCGUGGAGGUGUUCGACCCGGCGGCCGAGCAGUGGUCGCUGCUGGGCGCCGCCAUGCAGGUGCCGCGCUCGUACGCCGGCGUGGCCGUGGUGGAGCGCGCCUGACCCGAGCGCGCCGCCGGCGCCGAGCGGCAGCAGGUGAGUACAGCACAGCGUGGCGCGUGGAGGACGAGGAAAAUGUGUACGAGAGCGUGCGCGCGGAGGACGCGGACGCGGAGGCGGGCGCGGGCGCGGGCGCGGAGGCGGGCGCGGGGCGCGGCGCGGCGUACUGGUGGUGGCG